AGCACUGGUGCAAUGGAAAGGGGCCCUGGGC
rnacentral:piRNA from 1 species